GAUGAACGCUAGCGGCAGGCUUAAUACAUGCAAGUCGUGGGGCAGCAUGAAUGUAGCAAUACAUUUGAUGGCGACCGGCAAACGGGUGCGGAAAACGUACACAACCUUCCUAUAAGUGGGGAAUAGCCCAGAGAAAUUUGGAUUAAUACCCCGUAACAUAACGAUGUGGCAUCACAUUGUUAUUAUAGCUUCGGCGCUUAUUGAUGGGUGUGCGUCUGAUUAGAUAGUUGGCGGGGUAACGGCCCACCAAGGGUACGAUCAGUAGCUGAUGUGAUGGCAUGCUCGGCAACACGGGAAGUGGAACACGGACACGACUCCUACGGGAGGCAGCAGUAAUGAAUAUUGGUCAAUAGACGCAAGUCUGAACCAGCCAUGCAGCGUGAAGGAUUAAGGUCCUCUGGAUUGUAAACUUCUUUUAUCCGGGAAGAAAAAAGGCUUUUCUAAGUCACUUGACGGUACCAGAUGAAUAAGCACCGGCUAACUCCGUGCCAGCAGCCGCCGUAAAAC
rnacentral:rRNA from 1 species